rnacentral:rRNA from 1 species
GAUGAACGCUAGCUACAGGCUUAACACAUGCAAGUCGAGGGGAAACGGCAUUGAGUGCUUGCACUCUUUGGACGUCGACCGGCGCACGGGUGAGUAACGCGUAUCCAACCUUCCCAUUACUGUGGGAUAACCUGCCGAAAGGCAGACUAAUACCGCAUAGUCUUCGAUGACGGCAUCAGAUUUGAAGUAAAGAUUUAUCGGUAAUGGAUGGGGAUGCGUCUGAUUAGCUUGUUGGCGGGGUAACGGCCCACCAAGGCAACGAUCAGUAGGGGUUCUGAGAGGAAGGUCCCCCACAUUGGAACUGAGACACGGUCCAAACUCCUACGGGAGGCAGCAGUGAGGAAUAUUGGUCAAUGGAUGGAAGUCUGAACCAGCCAAGUAGCGUGCAGGAUGACGGCCCUAUGGGUUGUAAACUGCUUUUGUAUGGGGAUAAAGUUAGGGACGUGUCCCUAUUUGCAGGUACCAUACGAAUAAGGACCGGCUAAUUCCGUGCCAGCAGCCGCGGUAAUACGGAAGGUCCAGGCGUUAUCCGGAUUUAUUGGGUUUAAAGGGAGCGUAGGCUGGAGAUUAAGUGUGUUGUGAAAUGUAGACGCUCAACGUCUGAAUUGCAGCGCAUACUGGUUUCCUUGAGUACGCACAACGUUGGCGGAAUUCGUCGUGUAGCGGUGAAAUGCUUAGAUAUGACGAAGAACUCCGAUUGCGAAGGCAGCUGACGGGAGCGCAACUGACGCUUAAGCUCGAAGGUGCGGGUAUCAAACAGG